UACGAGGGGCUAGCGUUGCUCGGAAUGACUGGCGUAAGGCGCGUAGGCGGCCUGCUAAGUCGAACGUGAAAUCCCCGGGCUCAACCCGGGAACUGCGUCCGAUACUGACAGGCUUGAAUCCGGGAGAGGGAUGCGGAAUUCCAGGUGUAGCGGUGAAAUGCGUAGAUAUCUGGAGGAACACCGGUGGCGAAGGCGGCAUCCUGGACCGGCAUUGACGCUGAGGCGGCGAAAGCCAGGGGAGCAAACGGG
rnacentral:rRNA from 1 species